rnacentral:rRNA from 1 species
UACGUAGGGUGCGAGCGUUGUCCGGAAUUAUUGGGCGUACAGGGCUCGUAGGCGGUUUGUCGCGUCGGGAGUGAAAACUCAGGGCUUAACCCUGAGCCUGCUUCCGAUACGGGCAGACUAGAGGUAUGCAGGGGAGAAUGGAAUUCCUGGUGUAGCGGUGAAAUGCGCAGAUAUCAGGAGGAACACCGGUGGCGAAGGCGGUUCUCUGGGCAUUACCUGACGCUGAGGAGCGAAAGUGUGGGGAGCGAACAGG